UACGUAGGGUGCAGGCGUUAAUCGGAAUUACUGGGCGUAAAGCGUGCGCAGGCGGUUGUGCAAGACAGAUGUGAAAUCCCCGGGCUCAACCUGGGAACUGCAUUUGUGACUGCACGGCUAGAGUGUGUCAGAGGGGGGUAGAAUUCCACGUGUAGCAGUGAAAUGCGUAGAUAUGUGGAGGAAUACCGAUGGCGAAGGCAGCCCCCUGGGAUGACACUGACGCUCAUGCACGAAAGCGUGGGGAGCAAACAGG
rnacentral:rRNA from 1 species